CUUAAUAUUUAUUUUUUGUCUAUAGAAAAUAUACUUUCGUUAUGGUCGGGGGAAAUCCCAAAAGCGGUAAGUGGACGGUUUUGUCUAUCGAGCUUUAUUUUGUGAUGAUAGCGGUGACGGACUGGAAAUUCACCGAAAAAAAAAUCCCGCCCCGCGUUAAGGUCACACAGAUGCAGAGUGUCAAUGCCGUUUGCGGAUACGCGGUGUGAUACAGUUGUAUACGUGAUUUUUUUUUUUUUUUUUUUUUUUUAUCACCGCGUAUACAUCCGAGUUUAACGAACCCGCGGCCCGUCAUCGUAAUAAUAUAAUUGCGCACGCGGAUACGAGCGGAGUGUCGAGACCAUUUGGCCGCGGCGCACCGUAAUAAUGUAUAAAGACUGGAUAAUUAUGGAAUUUAUGAAAACGAGCAUCUCGACGAGUUAAAGACGAAAUUGCGUAACGGCGCGUAUUUGUACAUGUAUAUUGUGUGUGUGUGUGUGUAUAUAUAUAGAAAGAGAAACAGGUUAUAUUAAAAAACGAUGCGACGGUAUGGUGCGUUUCGUUGUAUGCGUAUCCCCUAUAAUAUACGUUUAAAUAUACAGAGUGAUUUUUUUUUUUUUUUUUUAUCAUGAACCGGCAAUCAUCCCGGAGGAUUUUAAGUGAAUUUGAU